rnacentral:rRNA from 1 species
CCUACGGGGGGCUGCAGUGAGGAAUAUUGGUCAAUGGACGAGAGUCUGAACCAGCCAAGUAGCGUGAAGGAUGACUGCCCUAUGGGUUGUAAACUUCUUUUAUAUGGGACUAAAAUGUUCCACGUGUGGGAUUUUGUAUGUACCAUAUGAAUAAGGAUCGGCUAACUCCGUGCCAGCAGCCGCGGUAAUACGGAGGAUCCGAGCGUUAUCCGGAUUGAUUGGGUUUAAAGGGAGCGUAGGUGGAUUGUUAAGUCAGUUGUGAAAGUUUGCGGCGCAACCGUAAAAUUGCAGUUGAAACUGGCAGUCUUGAGUACAGUAGAGGUGGGCGGAAUUCGGGGUGUAGCGGUGAAAUGCUUAGAUAUCACGAAGAACUCCGAUUGCGAAGGCAGCUCACUGGACUGCAACUGACACUGAGGCUCGAAAGUGUGGGUAUCAAACAGGAUUAGAUACCCCUGUAGUC